rnacentral:lncRNA from 1 species
CUCUGAGAUAUUUAGUAGCGUGCAGUAGACUCGAGGGAAGGACAGUGAGGAAUUGACAAUGACCCCGUUCGUAGUUCUCUUGGUCUGGUCGUUUGUCAGAUCCGCAUCAAGCCAACGAAUCUUAUGGUCGGGUAGUGCAAGUGAGAUAACCAUUCCUCUUGAUGGGACAGGACCUCAUAUAUCUGGUAUUCCAAUCGGACCUCAGAUGUCCGGGAUGCCUCUGGCACCACAAAUCUCGGUGCCAGUAGAGGUUCGAUCACAGCCAUGGCUCCGGAAACAAACAUCCUUCCCAGUAUCGCAGUCGUUCCCUGUCCAGUAUCCUCACUACCCACUGCGCUUCCCCAAGGAAUUCCCGAAAUCGUUUGUUCCAAAACCUCAAAUCCAAACUUCCCAGCAACCAAUAAGAGUACAUUACCCUCAAAUGCAUGGAUACCAACAUCUUCAGGAACAAAUGAAACCAUUCAACCCAAAACCAUAUUACGGAGCCCCGCUGUCUGACUGGAAAACUCGAGUCGGUGGAAACGUCUUCGUUGUUCCGUCGUCUCUCAAAUACUGUGUACACAGAUCCCAUGAUCCUCGCGGGAUACCUCCGGGCAGUGAAGAGUGGAGAUCUGUGGAAACCAAACUACCUUCCAGGACAAACGAUCACGAAUAAUCUGCAAAUACCCGGCGGUGGUGUCGUCCUAGCCGGAGACGGAAGUGAUGCAACGGUCGCCGGCCCAACCGGAAGUUAUUCAAUUGAUGGCGGUGACGUGGACAGGGUUAGUUUGGUAUAAAAACUCAGUGUCAUUUCGUUACGGAACAAGGUGAAUAUGUGCUCCUGUCAGAGGUUCGUUAUAUAACUGUUCUAUACUGGCAUGGUGAUAUGGACAUUUAGACAGGUGUGAAUGUAUUAUUUUUAUGUUGUGUUACACCUUUGAAACCCGGACUGUAUAACUGGAGAACUACCCUGGACAAACGAGACAACACAAUUACACCGCACGUCCAGGGUAUGUGUAUGCAUGACGUCUGCAUUUCCACUUUGGAAAGGUCUGUUUUGUAUUGGCUGUUGGUUCCGCCAGUAAUAGUGUAUCCGAAUAGUGUUGAGCGUUGGCAAUAUGGUUCUGUCUAGGAAUAUUACUGCUCCACGGAGACUUGGCUACCAGUGUUUUGAUUUUUGAUGUCAUAAAAAUGUACAUAAUCUUUAAACGUUUCAGUGAUUUUUACAUAGAUCUGAGCAACACGAAGUAGGCCGUUUUUCGUAUUCCUAUAUUUAAUCCCAGCGGUCAUAUACGACACUAAAUUUCGGAAAAACCCAGGGGCGGUGGGUUAGCCUAGUGGUUAAAGCGUUCGCUCGUCACGCCGAAGACCCGGGUUCGAUUCCAGACAUGGGUACAAUGUGUGACGCCGAUUUUAGGUGUCCCCACCGUGAUAUUGCUGGAAUAAGUAAGUACUUCGACUUAUCAGAGGUUCGACACACAUGCAAAAUGACUUAACAGGAACACAUGGCAUUUACUUCGAGACUACCGUUCGUUUGACACAUCAAACAUCUACGGUGUUUGACUGUAAAUAUAUAUGUGUCAGGUGUACCCACAAAUAAGUGAAUAUGGAUUACAAUCACAA